rnacentral:rRNA from 1 species
CCUACGGGAGGCAGCAGUGAGGAAUAUUGGUCAAUGGACGAGAGUCUGAACCAGCCAAGUAGCGUGAAGGAUGACUGCCCGAUGGGUUGUAAACUUCUUUUAUAUGGGAAUAAAAUGGUCCACGUGUGGGAUUUUGUAUGUACCAUAUGAAUAAGGAUCGGCUAACUCCGUGCCAGCAGCCGCGGUAAUACGGAGGAUCCGAGCGUUAUCCGGAGUUAUGGGGGUUAAAGGGAGCGUAGGUGGCUUGUUAAGUAAGUUGUGAAAGUUUGCGGCUCAACCGUAAAAUUGCAGUUGAAACUGGCAGUCUUGUGUACAGUCGAGGUGGGCGGACUUCGUGGUGUCGCGGUGACAUGCUUCGCUAUCACG